GACCGCCAGCCCAGGCUCCUCUUGCCUUUAUUUAUUUUUCUGACACUGUACGGAGAUGGGCCCGGGGCAGGGGCCGCCGGGCUCAGGCGGGAGCCGCGAGGCCCGGGCCGCAGCUGUCUGCGUGCGGGAGCCGCAGCGGCCGCCUCCCCUCCCGGGCUGUGGACGCACCGGGUUAUUCCUGGCAGCGCCUCCCCGAACAGAAGUUACUAGGAGGAGUGCGCGGCGAGGGCGGACGGGGGGAGAGGCGGAGGGAGGGAGGGAGGAAGAGGGAGAGACUCAGCCAACGACGUCAUCGGAUCCCCCAGCGCGUCCCAGGGAGGGAGGCUGAACCAGAAAAACCAGUCUGGAGCCAAGUAUUGUCAGAAAAUCAUUUCGAACUGAAAUUUUCAUUCAAAAAUAUUUAUUGAAUGCCGGCUAUGUGCUGAAGAUUCUUAAGAUACAUCAGUGAACAAAUCAAAGUUCCCUGCUUUCUUGGAGCUUGCAUUCCAGCGGGAGGAGAGGAUUUGGAGGAAGAAUGGGAUAGACAAUAAAUGUAAGUAAUAAAUUAUAUAGGACUUUGAAAGGUAAAAUGUUUGGGGGAAAAACAUAAAAUAGGGUAAAGGAUAUAGGUGGGGUGAGGGUUGUCCUGAUGCUGUAUUAAAUAGGAACAUCAGAGUAAGACUUGUUGAAAAGGGAGAUUUCUGCCAUGGUUUGAAGGAAAUACCUGGAGAUAUCUGGAGGACAGAGCUUUUCACAUGGAGGGAACAGCCAAGAUACAGCUCCAAUACCUGGAAUUUUUAUAGACAUCAAUGGGAAUGGUGUGGCUAGAAUAAAAUGAGACAGCCAGUGAACAGAAGGCCUCUCAGGUCACCGUAAGAAUUCCAGAAAAGCUUCAUAAAAGGCAAAUUUUGGGCCUUUAUCACUCAGCCCCAUGGAAUCUGAAUCUUUGUGGGCCCAGGACUCUGCAUUUUUAACAUGUAAAGCAAUUGUUACUUAUGUAUUCUAAAGCACAAGACCUCCUGCCACAGAGCAUGGGACCUGAUAUAUCCAGGCAGGAGAACUGGGUACCAGGAGACACUGUACAUGAAGUUUCCAGAACCAGCCAUGUCCAUCUUACUAAUCAAGACUCUCUCUGUUAAAUCUGCAACUCAAAUGACUUUAAGGAAAAAUGGAUUUCAUUGAUUCACAUAACCAUCACUCAAGGACUAACUUUCAACAUAGUGAGAUCCUGAGGCUCAAAUAUUAUUACCCGGGUUCCAUGAACUGCUUCCUCUGACAUGAGAUCUAACAAGGCUAAAGACUAAAAUGCAGCUGUUUACAGCGUAAGUAGGAGGCCGUCCCGUGCAGUGCAAAAUCAACAGAGAGGAGACAGUCCUAUGCCUUCGAGAGACAGUCUGCUGAUACUGUCAUGAUGUCUAGUGACAGGCCAGAGAUCAAAACCCAACACCCUCAUUUACCUGACAGUGAUUUGGCCAAUCCCUUAACAUCUCUAAGAGCUUCAUUUUUCUACAAAAUUGAGACAAUAGUAUUUGUUUCAUAGUGUUACUGUCAGGGUUAAAUGUUAUACAUUAAGCAUUUAAUAUAUGCUGCUUGUUUAUCUAAAUAUUCAUGGUCAGGCACUAACUUCUUAUGUGACUCUGAGCAAUGCAUUCAUCUCUGUACCUGUUUCCUCAUCCAUAAAUUGGGAGUUGAACAAGG
rnacentral:lncRNA from 1 species